GCGGGUGUAGCUCAGUUGGUUAGAGCGCAAGAUUGUGGUCCUUGAGGUCGUGGGUUCGAUUCCCAUCACCCGCCCCA
rnacentral:tRNA from 2 species